UACAGAGGUGGCAAGCGUUGUUCGGAAUUACUGGGCGUAAAGGGCGCGUAGGCGGCCUUCUAAGUCAGACGUGAAAUCCCCCGGCUUAACCUGGGAACUGCGUCUGAUACUGGAGGGCUUGAGUAUGGGAGAGGGAUGUAGAAUUCCAGGUGUAGCGGUGAAAUGCGUAGAUAUCUGGAGGAAUACCGGUGGCGAAGGCGGCAUCCUGGACCAUUAUGACGCUGAGGCGCGAAAGCUAGGGGAGCAAACGGG
rnacentral:rRNA from 1 species